GCGGACGGGUGAGUAACACGUGGGUAACCUACCUAUAAGACUGGGAUAACUUCGGGAAACCGGAGCUAAUACCGGAUAAUAUUUCGAACCGCAUGGUUCGAUAGUAGAAAGGUGGUUUUGCUAUCACUUAUAGAUGGACCUGCGCCGUAUUAGCUAGUUGGUAAGGUAACGGCUUACCAAGGCGACGAUACGUAGCCGACCUGAGAGGGUGAUCGGCCACACUGGAACUGAGACACGGUCCAGACUCCUACGGGAGGCAGCAGCG
rnacentral:rRNA from 1 species